rnacentral:sRNA from 1 species
GCGGCCGCGGCGGCCUUGGGGCACCCGCAACACCACGCACCUGUCUGCACCGCCACCACCUACAACGUGGCGGACCCGCGGAGAUUCCACUGCCUCACCAUGGGAGGCUCUGACGCCAGCCAGGUACCCAAUGGCAAGAGGAUGAGGACGGCGUUCACUAGCACGCAGCUCCUGGAGCUGGAGAGAGAAUUCUCUUCCAACAUGUACCUGUCUCGACUCCGGAGGAUUGAAAUCGCCACUUACCUGAACCUGUCGGAGAAGCAGGUGAAAAUCUGGUUUCAGAACCGCCGAGUGAAGCACAAGAAGGAGGGGAAGGGCACGCAGAGGAACAGUCACGCGGGCUGCAAGUGCGUCGGGAGCCAGGUGCACUACGCGCGCUCCGAGGAUGAGGACUCCCUGUCGCCGGCCUCGGCCAACGAUGACAAGGAGAUUUCCCCCUUAUGAGAGAGGGCCUCCUCCCUCACAUCCCCCGCUCCUGGCAGACCAGGCAACGCCAAGGCGUGGGGCACCCAGGGGCCAAAAUCCUUGCUCAUUGCAGUGGUCCCAUCUGGAGAAGAAACGAACCUGGAAGUUCUGGAAUGGACAAGCCGGGGCCUGACCCUUCGCGUCUCCUUCUUGACCUGUUUAUCUGGGGCUCCAACUCGAAGUUAUAGAUUUUUUUAAAAAAU